UACGAAGGGGGCUAGCGUUGUUCGGAAUUACUGGGCGUAAAGCGCACGUAGGCGGAUUUGUAAGUCAGGGGUGAAAUCCCGGGGCUCAACCUCGGAACUGCCUUUGAUACUGCAAGUCUUGAGUCCGAUAGAGGUGAGUGGAAUUCCUAGUGUAGAGGUGAAAUUCGUAGAUAUUAGGAAGAACACCAGUGGCGAAGGCGGCUCACUGGAUCGGUACUGACGCUGAGGCGCGAAGGCGUGGGGAGCGAACGGG
rnacentral:rRNA from 1 species